rnacentral:rRNA from 1 species
AUUCCUAGCUUGCUAGGAGAUGACGAGCGGCGGACGGGUGAGUAAUGCUUGGGAAUAUGCCUUAUGGUGGGGGACAACAGUUGGAAACGACUGCUAAUACCGCAUAACGUCUACGGACCAAAGGAGGGGAUCUUCGGACCUUUCGCCAUUUGAUUAGCCCAAGUGAGAUUAGCUAGUUGGUGAGGUAAUGGCUCACCAAGGCGACGAUCUCUAGCUGGUUUGAGAGGAUGAUCAGCCACACUGGGACUGAGACACGGCCCAGACUCCUACGGGAGGCAGCAGUGGGGAAUAUUGCACAAUGGGCGAAAGCCUGAUGCAGCCAUGCCGCGUGUGUGAAGAAGGCCUUCGGGUUGUAAAGCACUUUCAGUUGUGAUGAAAGGGAUGUAGUUAAUAACUGCAUUCUGUGACGUUA